rnacentral:rRNA from 1 species
UACGUAGGUGGCGAGCGUUGUCCGGAUUUACUGGGCGUAAAGAGCGCGCGGGCGGUUGGUCAAGUCGAAUGUGAAAGCCCCCGGCUCAACUGGGGAGGGUCAUUCGAUACUGGUCGACUCGAAGGCAGGAGAGGGACGUGGAAUUCCCGGUGUAGUGGUGAAAUGCGUAGAUAUCAGGAGGAACACCGAUGGCGAAGGCAGGUCUCUGGGCUGACACUGACGCUCAUGCACGAAAGCGUGGGGAGCAAACAGG